UCUUCUCUGCAGACGGGCCCGACAACGUCACAGAUUAGCGCGGUUAUCACUCCCGCCCUCUCCUCCUCCGACCGUUUUACGAUUAGGGUUGCGCUACCCGCUCUCCCUGUCUCUCGCCUUCCGCCAUUGAUGGUGGCCACUCACCAACCCGCUUCGCUGCUUCUUCCCUUCGCCAGAGCUGUAGCACCCCAUGAAGUUUCAUCGAAUAGCCUGGCCGAUCUCUAGCUUUCCACGCUGCUGGUCGGUCUCUAUUCGUAGUUGUCGAUCAGUAGCCAAGGACCGCUCCUGAUGGACCCGUGGAGUCAAGCGACGCCGAGGAGUCUGUCACGAGGAGCAGAGGCUCUCUCGGUCUAAAUGCGUGGAAGAGGGCGAAGGAAGAGCCGGAUCUGCAGACGCUCGGCGAACCAAAUCAACCCGUUCUGAAGGUCAAAUGUUGGCCCAUGCUAGCCGGCGUAGGGACAUGAGAACUGGCACAAACGGUCUUGUACAGUGCCAAAAAAGGCGUUUCUCUCAUGACUAAGAGAGGUUGUUUAGACGAAGAUUUGAAGAUGAUUGCUGAAUUUCUUCUAAAGUCCGCUGAAAUAGCAAGUUUUGCACCGAGGUUGUAUGGGAAGUUACGGGAGUUUCCUGAGGACCUUGAGAACAAUAUGUUUGAGUCCUUUUCAUCACAGUUUGCAAUGCCAGGAUUUGUUAUACAGUAAUCAAAGGCAGUUUGUCGAUGAUACUGAUUAUCUUAUAUGUUUAUGAAAUCAUCUUAUUGGUUUCAGCUCUGUGACUAAUGUUACAACUUUUGCAGGCCGUUGACCGGGCAAGGUUAAGAACUUUGAUGAUCGAAUUUUAUCAAUCGGGAAUAGUUUUAAAUAAAACAGUGUUUGAAUUUGCGACACUCCAAUCUCUCUGUUUGUUGAUCACCACACUUGUGUUCAAGCAUUUGUCCUGGCAGUUAAAAUUGAUUGAUUGUAAAGUGUGUAGUUCAGAAUUUUAUCAAUCGAGAAUAGUUUUAAAUAAAACAGUGUAUGAAUUUGUGAUGCUCCAAUCUCUCUGUUUGUUGAUCA